GAUGAACGCUGGCGGCGUGCCUAAUACAUGCAAGUCGAGCGAACAGACGAGGAGCUUGCUCCUCUGACGUUAGCGGCGGACGGGUGAGUAACACGUGGAUAACCUACCUAUAAGACUGGGAUAACUUCGGGAAACCGGAGCUAAUACCGGAUAAUAUAUUGAACCGCAUGGUUCAAUAGUGAAAGACGGUUUUGCUGUCACUUAUAGAUGGAUCCGCGCCGCAUUAGCUAGUUGGUAAGGUAACGGCUUACCAAGGCAACGAUGCGUAGCCGACCUGAGAGGGGGAUCGGCCACACUGGAACUGAGACACGGUCCAGACUCCUACGGGAGGCAGCAGUAGGGAAUCUGCCGCAAUGGGCGAAAGCCUGACGGAGCAACGCCGCGUGAGUGAUGAAGGUCUGCGGAUCGUAAAACUCUGUUAUUAGGGAAGAGCAAAUGUGUAAGUAACUAAGCACGUCUUGACGGUACCUAAUCAGAAAGCCACGGCUAACUACGU
rnacentral:rRNA from 1 species